rnacentral:lncRNA from 1 species
UUUUGGGGAGACUCACCCGAUCCCUGCCUGUAAUCCCAGCACUUCAGGAGGUUGAGGCCAGCGGAUCACCUGAGGUCAGGAGUUCUAGACCAGACUGACCAACAUGGUGAAACCCUGUCUCUACUAAACAUACAAAAUUAGCCAGGCAUGGUACUUGGAAUGGACUGGUCCUUUCAUUUCCUCGAUUUCUCCCUUUAUUCUUUUGAGUGAAGGCAUAACUCAUGUUGUUACACUUUGCAGAUACAAUUACAAAAUCUAAGUAUUUUGGCCCU